rnacentral:lncRNA from 1 species
GGCAGCUAGGCUUCUGGAGGGAGCUGGGGACAAACCCAGCCAAUGGGUGGUCAUGGAUUUCCCUCCCCUCCCCUCCUCUUCUCUUUUGGAGACAGGGUCUCAUUAUGCACACCGGCCAACCUGGAACUCAGGGCGAUCCUCCUGGCUCAGCCUCCGAGGGCUGGGAUUACAGGCGUCAGCUGGGUCCCCACUGGGCUCCUGGCGCAGGGACAGGUCAGACUGGCCAGCGAUUGCUACACUCAGAUGCCCACCAGACUCAGCAAAUGAAGGCAGCACUGGCUGCCAGCUGCAGCAUGGGAGUCCCCUGCCAAAGAACCUGCGGUCAGCACAGUCACUAGGAAGUCGAACCCGCCCCUGGGUGAGGUAG